CUCCAAACUCAGGGUCAUUUCACGCAGGGCAAAGGGAAGCAGUUUCUGCAAGACGACAGGACAAGCUGAGGGUCCCUCGGCCAGCCCCUUGCCAGCCUUGAGCAGGGCGUGGGAAGGAGGGAAGUGAUGCUUGCAGGGAAGAGGUGGGCUAUGGACACUGCUGUGGUCCCAUGUUUCUGGGAGGUCUCACCCAGCAACGGGGCUUUGAACAUCCACUGCCUGGCCUCAGACAUGCCUGGCGCUCAGCAUCACCAGGGCACAGAGCUGCCUGGAGCAGGUGAGGAUCCCUCACCACUCCCGACCUACGGGAAUAUCUCUGAGCCGUCAUUAAAGGACAGAAGAUGCAGUUUGAAAACAGCCUCUGGCAGAGCCGCUGAGUGCCUCCUGCUGCUGGCCUGGCCCUGCAUCUGCCUCUCCCUGCUUCGUGCACAGCUACCUUUUGUACAACUACAGCUGGCAUCACGUCUCCCCUCAGUCACCUCUUCCAGUGAUGACAGUUCUGCCAAAUGUUCUUCUAGACUGAUGACUGCCUUGCUUCUGCCCUCCAAACUCAUCCGUCUUCUUCUUGAACAAAACAGACACAUCAAGAUCCAGGUUUCUGGCAAAGCCUAACAUGUGCUGAGCAAAGCAGUCACUUGUGCAGGCAAGCACACUUGUGUCACACUGCAGAUGGGUGUCCCUCUCUUCCCACCACACUGUGAUGCCGUGGGCUCCUCUUUGCUGGGCUCACUGGGAUGGUUUCCUGCAGUGCUGGGUGCUCCCCACCGUGUCUCUGGGCAGUCAAUUUUUCCUCUGCCUUGAAAUCACAACACAUGACAUCCAUCACUGCUCAUCUGAGGUUUUAGGACCAUGUGUUGAGCUGCCGUUUGAGCCUGUAUUUCUGCUAUCUCAUCCAUCACCCUACGAGACAAACAUGCCCCGAAGGAUGACAAACAUGCCCCGAAGGAUGUCAGCAGCCUGGCUGUGACGGGAGGUGUCAGCAUGCAGACAGACCCUUCAGUGCUUUGCAGGCUGAGCGCCUGGAGGCACCCAGCGGUGGUGGGCAGACAGGCCUUGGCACGGGCUAAUCAUGAUAAUGAAGGAACACAUAUUGUACGUUCCUUUGUUAUUCACAGCUGAGAUCCCCUUGCGUCCCAUCCCCUCUUAACGACUUCAUGAUGAUGAUAUGGUCAUUAAAGUUGGUUACUUGCUCAGGGCUCCUGCACAUGAAUUACGAGAGUAAAACAUUAAAUGGAGAGGUUCAGAGCUCUUGCAGAGCCAUCAGCUCUUCAUGACUGCUAAUUAAUCCAGGGUGUGAUUAACUACAGGCAGUGACACUUGUGUCUGCUCCUUUCAGAGCUGUACUGGGAGCCCAGCUGUGGGUCGAGUUAGUGCAUCACCAGACUAGGAGCAGAUCAUGCUCUGGGCAAGUCCCACCUGCUUUGUGGUCCUUGGGCAUUAACUCACAUGGUCUUCACAGCCAUGCUGUGUAGUUUGCAGCAAGAGCUGCUGGGCUUAGUGCCUGAGCUGCAUCCCCAACGUGUCUCACCAAGGGCUGUGGCUGCUGCAAGAAGGCUUAGCUCUGGACCACUGAUAAAUCUUGUUACAUCCAUAAUAAAUCCUUUUUCUGGCA